AUUGAACGCUGGCGGCACGCCUAACACAUGCAAGUCGAGCGGCAGCGAGACUAGUAGCAAUACUAGUUGUCGGCGAGCGGCGGACGAGUGAGUAACACGUAGGAAUCUGCCCUUAAGCGGGGGAUAACCAAGGGAAACUUUGGCUAAUACCGCAUAAUCUCGAGAGAGCAAAGCUGCCCGCAAGGGUGGCACUUGAGGAGGAGCCUGCGUCCGAUUAGCUAGUUGGUGGGGUAAUGGCCUAACAAGGCGAUGAUCGGUAACUGGUCUGAGAGGACGACCAGUCACACUUGGACUGUGACACCGCCCAGACUCCUACGGGGGGCAGCAGUGGGGAAUAUUGGACAAUGGGGGCAACCCUGAUCCAGCGAUUCCGCGUGAGUGAAGAAGGCCUUCGGGUCGUAAAGCUCUUUAGGUUGGGAAGAAGGGUAUUGGCUGAAUAAUCCAGUACUUUGACGGUACCGACAGAAUAAGCACCGGCAAACUCUGUGCCAGCAGCCGCAGUAAUAC
rnacentral:rRNA from 1 species